UUGGUAGGCGGACCAGAACCCCCGAAACGAACUGGACUCUCCAGGCAAAUGAACUUCAGCUUAAAGCUGAACAGGGUGUGAAAGCACCCUUAACACCACAAUUAGUUCUCAGGACAGCUGAUGGAGCGUUCAGGAGAUGUGUUGGUUAGAGGAACGAGGGAUCAGUCUGACACAUGCCUGACCUGACAUGCAGAGGAAGACUAAUGUUGACAUCCGACCUCAAUGAAACAUAAGAACUGAAAAGAACUUCACUGGAAGCAAGAUGGAGGCAGGAUGGAUCAACGUUGUCAGCAGCAGCCUGUUCCGAACAAGGUGGGGACAGCGUGAACCG